ACUCAAAGGAAUAGACGGGGGCCCGCACAAGCGGUGGAGCAUGUGGUUUAAUUCGAGGCAACGCGAAGAACCUUACCCAGGCUUGACAUCCCAGGACACCCUAUGAAAGUAGGUCUUCCCUUCGGGGACCUGGAGACAGGUGUUGCAUGGCUGUCGUCAGCUCGUGUCGUGAGAUGUUGGGUUAAGUCCCGCAACGAGCGCAACCCUUGUCCUUAGUUACCAGCGGUUCGGCCGGGCACUCUGAGGAGACUGCCGAUGAUAAGUCGGAGGAAGGUGGGGACGACGUCAAGUCAUCACGGCCCUUACGCCUGGGGCUACACACGUGCUACAAUGGUCGGUACAGAGGGACGCAAGACCGCGAGGUGGAGCCAAUCCCAAAAAGCCGGCCUCAGUUCGGAUUGCAGUCUGCAACUCGACUGCAUGAAGUCGGAAUCGCUAGUAAUCGCGCAUCAGCUACGGCGCGGUGAAUACGUUCCCGGGCCUUGUACACACCGCCCGU
rnacentral:rRNA from 1 species